AGGGCGUAUGGUGGAUGCCUUGGCAGACAGUACCGAUGAAGGACGUUUGAGGAUGCGAUAAGCCUCGGGGAGCCUCCAACAUGGCUUCGAUCCGAGGAUUUCCGAAUGGGGCAACCCGCCGGCCGUCAUGGGCCGGCACGGAACCUUGUUGUUCCGGGGGUACGCAGGGAAGUGAAACAUCUCAGUACCUGCAGGAAGGGAUACUCCGUGAGUAGUGGCGAGCGAAAGCGGAUCAGACCAAACCAUGGGCGCGUGAUACCCGUCGGGGGUUGCGUCCGUGGUGUUGCGGGAGCGUGUGUCCCGGUUCCGACGGACCGGGCGGGAGUCAUAAAACGGCUUGCCAGGGGAACAGGCUUGAAGGCCUGGCCGCAGAGGGUGCCAGCCCCGUACCUGGAAGCUUGCCGUCUUCCGAUCAUGUGUCCCAAGUAGCGCGGGCCUCGUGGAAUCCCGUGUGAAUCGGCCCCGACCGUGGGGUAAGUCUAAGCAUACCUGUCUGACCGAUAGCGUACCAGUACCGUGAGGGAAAGGUGAAAAGCACCCCGGGAGGGGAGUGAAAGAGUUCCUGAAACCGUGCGCCUACAAUCCGUCGGAGCCUCCUCAAGUGGGGUGACGGCGUGCCUAUCGAAAAAUGAGUCUGCGAGUCAGUGGUGCGUGGCGAGGCUAACCCGUCGUGGGGGAGCCGUAGCGAAGGCGAGUCUCAAAAGGCGUUUUGAGUCGCGUGCCCUGGACCCGAAGCGGGAUGAUCUAGCCCUGGGCAGGUUGAAGCGCGGGUAAGACCGCGUGGAGGACCGAACCCACCUGGGUUGAAAACCGGGGGGAUGACCUGGGGCUAGGGGUGAAAGGCCAAUCAAAUUCCGUGAUAGCUGGUUCUCUCCGAAAUGCAUUUAGGUGCAGCGUCGGUUGAUUGCAUCGCGGGGGUAGAGCUACUGGAUGCUUGCGGGCCCGUAUGGGGUACCAACAGCAGCCAAACUCCGAAUACCGUUGAUGUGUAUUCCGGCAGUGAGUCGGCGGGGGAUAAGCUCCGUCGUCGAGAGGGAGACAGCCCAGACCGUCGUCUAAGGUCCCGAAGCGUGUGCUAAGUGGGAAAGGAUGUGGAGUCGCAUAGACAGCCAGGAGGUUGGCUCAGAAGCAGCCAUCCUUGAAAGAGUGCGUAACAGCUCACUGGUCUAGUGGUUCCGCGCCGACAAUGUAGCGGGGCUCAAGCACACCACCGAAGACGCGGCAGCAAUCUUCAUGGUUGCUGGGUAGGAGAGCGUCCUGCGAGGGGCGAAGCGGCCGGGUAACCGUGCCGUGGACUUCGUGGGAGUGAGAAUGCAGACAUGAGUAGCGAGAGACGGGUGAGGAUCCCGUCCGCUGGAUGACCAAGGGUUCCGGGGCCACGUUCGUCGUCCCCGGGUGAGUCGGGUCCUAAGGCGAGGCCGACAGGCGUAGUCGAAUGGAUGAACGGGUGGAUAUUCCCGUACCGGCAGCGAACCGUCCGAACUGAACGGAUGAGUACUAACCUCCGGUCGCGUGGCGUCGUUCCCUUCGGGGUUCGGGGCGCGCGAUUGUUGGGAAUGUAGUCCUGGUAGGUUAGCGCACAGGGGUGACACGGAAUGGGAGCCGGCCGCGGAGGUGGUUUUCCGUGGUCAAGCACGCAGCCCGUCCCAUAGGCAAAUCCGUGGGGCAUGCAGGGUGAGGUGCGAUGAUGGGCGCCUUUCAGGCGCGAUAUCCGGUGGUCCAGGCCGUCGAGAAAAGCCUCGGCGCGAGGGGCGUUGCCGCCCGUACCCCAAACCGACACUGGUGGUCAGGUAGAGAAUACCAAGGCGAUCGAGCGAAUCCUGGUCAAGGAACUCGGCAAAUCACUCCCGUGCCUUCGGUAUAAGGGAGACCCGCUGGGGUGAACCGGCUAGCCCGGGGAGCUUUGGUGGGUGGCACAGACCAGGGGGUAGCGACUGUUUACCAAAAACACAGGUGCAUGCGAAGGCGCAAGCCGCUGUAUAUGCACUGACGCCUGCCCGGUGCCGGAAGGUUAAGAGGAUCCGUCAAUCCCUUCGGGGACGAAGCGGUGAAUUCAAGCCCCGGUAAACGGCGGUGGUAACUAUAACCAUCCUAAGGUAGCGAAAUUCCUUGUCGGGUAAGUUCCGACCUGCACGAAUGGCGUAACGA
rnacentral:rRNA from 1 species